GGGGACAGCGCCCUCUGCGCGCUCCGCCCGAGCCGACCGGACCUCAGCCGAUGUGGCAUAAAAUAAAUCAUCGCUCGUGUCCCCGAUCUGCUUUUCCAGCUCUGUAGGAUGGCCUAAAAUGACAUCAAAAUACCACUCAGUCCUUACAGCCUCACCUCCGCGAAGUCCUACAAAGAUCUCUGUAGUACUUUAGUGGCAUAAUUAAUGAUGCUGUUGUUUGUUACUAGUAAUUUGCUUUUAUUCUUUUAAAUCCUUUGCCUGUAAUAAAAUUGUGCUUUGCUUAACACAUCUGAUAGAUCAACAAAGCCCAAGGAGGUUUUGGUCGAAGUUUUUGUUACUGGCCAUAGAGGUAGAAAAACAGCAAAAUAAGAGAUCUAGUAAGAACAUUCAGGAACUAUGUGAUGGCAAAGGUCACAGGCAGUCAACAGAGAUACUCUUACUGUCUGUUUCUGUACCUGACUUACUCAAAAAUAAUGUCAGUAUUUGGGAUAGGAUCCUGCUACCUUGUGAGCUGAAAUUAUGGACUUUCUAGUCCUUAGAUCACAGCAGCAAGCAGGAACCCAAUACCCAGAUGAGAUUAACUGAGAGAUUGCAGCUGUGUAAGUUGUUCUUUUGCCUCUCCUGGAAAGGAUGGUUUUCUGCAAGACUCAGAUCCAAGCACCUGCACAGACAUGAUGUGGAGUAAGACAGUAAAAUAUUAAUUUUCACUACCUGAAUCUUCUUUAGCCAUCUGGGUGAAUGCUAUGGUAUGUGCUGGGAGAAGGAGAGUUAUUGCAAUAAUAAGGACUUUAUGCACCUAUCUACUCUGUUUCCUAAUUUGCAACAUAAAUAAUACAAAGCUGCAAAGAUGCUGACAUGUUUAAUGCAAAAAGCAACUUUUGUUAGGGUCUAGUAUAGCACAACUAUACAAGCCACAGCUAAAAUAACAGUUCUUUCACUUGAGAAAAUGUGUCAAGAUGCAGAAAAGAUCAGUGCCCUAGGGAGUCUUUGAUCUUGACAUGAAAGAGAGGUUAGAGAAGAGAAAUGUUGUAAAUGUUGCAACGAUGAAUUAAUGUAAAAGGAGAUUAAGUGAGUAACCCAAGAUUAUUUAGGAAAGCCUAUGCCAGAGCCAGGAAACAAACUGAAAUAAGAAAGAAGGACAAAUUACAGACUUGGAAUAUUGAAGAGCUCAGAACAGAAACUAGGGAAAUGUGUUUUAAAGCACGGUAACAGCUGACUGAGGUAGGUGGGUCUUGGAUUCAUGACCAUGUUCAGAUGCAUCACACUUGGAUAGUCUUUCAUGGAUGCUGUGACUCCCUAGGAAGCUGCUGGCCAGGGACAAACAUCACUCAGUGGUUUGCAGAGGCAUGUGGCUGUCCACCCUCUGUUGCUCUGCACUUCACCAAGGUCUUGGCCUGUGCUGGACAAGAGUUCAUGCCUGGAGUUUAUCAUGAUUGCCACAUACGACCUUAGCCUUGAGGAAUCACAAAUCCGUCCUCUGUCGUAACAAUUGACUCUUCCCAAAAUAUUAAACAUGCUAAAAAUCAGCCAGUUACUGAGCAGCCUAAUGAUGGAUUAGGUACUUACUGCUAAAAGUCUUGACCAGUUCUUGCAGCAAACAGAAGCAACCACAGGUACCCCUUCACUUCACUACUUGGAACUGAUGAUACACUGCCCUAGAACCAUUUCCUGCCCUAUGUGGAUGUGAGGAUUACCUAAGAUUCCAAAGGUUAAAAGCAGACUGCCAAUUUUUGCAAAUCCCCACUUUGUACUGCUAUGAAGAGCUACAGAGGAUGCAGAGGAGUCUGGAAUGGAAAAGCUGAUAUUCUGAAAUAAAGUGGUGAGCUGUACUAGGGCCAGCCUGUGCAGGGCACACAUCGUGGUGUCCGGAGUCUGCUCUCUGCUGCGGGAGGCACCGCUGCUCCUGCUGCACCCCGCCACCUCUUCUCCCUACAAAUCCUUGCUGGCUGGGAGGAAGUACUGCCUUGGCAUUAGUGUGUGGAAACCUGGGCCUGUGAUACAGAAGCUCGCUGAGAUUAUCACAACUGUCCCUGCCUGCAUUAAAAUACAUUAUUCUAAAGCCACUAGGUCCUCUCCUGUUCCCCAGCCUGAACUCCUGCAUCACUUGCCAGAAGAGGAAAUCCCACCAUGUAAGAAAAUUUCAUAGAUCUUCAAGCUUCCAAGGAGUUUCUAAAACAUGUGGGAAGUACUUUAAGCACCAAGGACUGAGAUUAGUCUGGAUGACUUCAGAGGUGCCUAGAGACUUUCAGGAUUCUUGGAAAAGAGAGCACAGAAGUGCCCUGCCCAUUGCAAUAGGGAAACAAAAUUAGAAUUUCUCUUCCCAUCUCUCAGAUGACUCCUGAAAACGCUUUGUAUUAUGUGUGACCUGGGUAUGAUUUCCAGACCCUACUUUAAGCAAGUAGAUACCUGGAGCAUGACAGAGGACACCGAAGCAACAAAGAUGAUAAAUGUCAAGUAAAAAACCUAAAGUAGAUGUGAAUUCUUUUCCAUGCAGACCAAGUAGGAUGGCAUUUAGUGUACUAAAUUUUAUAGACACAUCUCUAAUGUAAAAAAAUAAAAUUGAAGUACUUAUAGAAUAAUAUGUAUUGUGUGACAUGUUAAUACUGUUAAAGGUUGAGGGUUUUUUAUUUCCUGGUGGUGUGUAUUUCUGUUGGAUUGCUUCAGAGGCGCAAAAUAUAUUUAUUUAGUCAGAAGGACUCCUGCUAAUUGUUCAAUGGCUCUUGCUGUGCUGGAGAGAUUUUGAAUUUAUAUUGUUUCUCUAAAUGCAAAGCACUUCUGAUUCAUUUAACAUUGUUUGGACAGCUGUGAAGAGAAAUAAAAUGGCACAAUAUUGUUUUCCUGUGCUGCUUUUGAAGUGACAUAAUUACUUCAAAUAUUGCCUGAGAUACCCACUGAGACAAUCACAGGACUUAAUUUUAAAUGAAGCAAAAUGUAUCUCAACACUGAAAGCAAAACUGUGCACUGCAAAAUGAUGGAGGAAGUAUUGGAAUAAAGAUCCCUGCUAAGCACUCUGUUAUUUACCUACUUACCAGCCAGAGGUUACAUAUUUUUAGAUAACUGACAAUUUUUAUGUCAGAUAUACUAUACAGUUCCUUAAUUCUGUAACUCUCCUUUACAAAUAACAGCGGAGAUAUUUGUGUGCCAGUGAUAUUGUGAAACAGUGAUUACUGUUUCAAUCUUUCACAGAAGAUGCACUUGUUAUUGUGAACAACAUGCAGUUAUUCCUUCAGAGACAUCAUUUGUAGGUUGAUUGCCUCCUUAACGUCAUGAAGCAGUCUUUUGAUUAAAGAGAGAAAUGAGAAAUUUUAUGCUACUUCCUAAUUUUAAACUUCUCAGUGUAAAAGUGUGUCUUAGCAUUAUUCUUCAUUCAGAACAACUGCUAAUCUCCCCAAACAUAAUCUUCACCUCUGAGGCUGAUCCCCCAGCUCACUUGUCCAGAGGCAAACCUUGUUCUUUCCUUUAUCCAUGCUAGGCUGCAUAAUACCAAGUCCAUCCUUCACUGCUUCUUUCUUCCUCAUACAAAUGCUCUGGUCCCAUUUGCUUUACGAAAACAAAAGCAAAAUCUGUGUGCCUGGACCAGACUGUAAAAGGGUAUUUUGCCACCUAGCAUCAUGGAAGGAGCUGUUCAGUUCACAAAAUUGUUAGGUCCAAGGCAGAGGCUGGGUUCCCAGCCCAAGGCAGGAGGAGAAAAAAGAUGCUCAUGCUGUAUGAAUUAGUUUGGGACCCAUAGCAUGGCUAAAAGUGAGCUCUGGUAAGCUUUGUAUUGGAACUAGCAGUGCCCUUGUAAAGGAGGAACAGCACAGAAUGCUCUCUGAACAAAUGCACCAGCAUAAAUGCAAAGUCUUGGUGAUGAAAUACUGUAAAGCAGCUUUACAUCUUGCAUGUCCUUUACACUUGAGCUUGCCUUGUCUUUUAAGGGUCCCCUGGCAACAUUCAGAGCUUUCUGGUGAGAAAAAGGCUCAGGGCCCAGGAGGCAACUUUGUCAUUUUCAUAGAAAUAAUGGGAGGAAACGAAAACAGAAUCUACGUCAUACCUUCUGGAGUUGUUAUGCUGAGGAAAAAAUCUUGAGGAGCAUUUUGAUUAUUUCUAAUUUAGCAGCUCUAAAGCAAACUAAAGAUUUUGUAUUCACAGCAUGGGAUGAAUGUAUCCAUUUUCCAUAAUAUCCUGUCACAAAGCAGGCAAAAGCAGAUACUUAGAAGAUGAGAAAAAGAAAAGGUCAAAAAUAUAAUGAUGUUUCCUUAGACUAUUUUUCUGGUUCUGGAUAUUCCUUGAGUCCGAAAUGUUGUUUUUUUAAUUAACAGCCCUAAUUGCUUUUGAUGUUUUUUUUUUUCUUCUUUUGAAUUCAUGUAGAUGUUUUGCAUUUGAAAAAUACCUGUAUUUACCUGCAUAAUGUGAAAAAUAAAAUUCUUUCAUUUUCUCUGA
ensembl:lncRNA